rnacentral:lncRNA from 1 species
GUGGCUUCUGGAGUCUUCUAGAUGGUAGAAAAUUGCGCGGUGCGUUGAUAUCUCUAUGUAAUCCUGACAUGUGGGCCUUUCUUCCUUAUUUCCUGAUAACCCCCUGCAGAAAUAGACAAACACCAAAACUCGUGGAAUUCUGUCAGAUAAAACCCUAAGUCUAGAUGUUGAUUUCAUUUAGAUCCGUUUCUUUGUUUAUUUGAUAAUUAAAUUUGAUACUUAAGG